UACGUAGGGUGCGAGCGUUAAUCGGAAUUACUGGGCGUAAAGUGUGCGCAGGCGGCAGAGCAAGUCGAGUGUGAAAGCCCCGGGCUUAACUUGGGAAUUGCGCUCGAAACUACUUUGCUGGAGUGUGGCAGAGGAAGGUGGAAUUCCACGUGUAGCGGUGAAAUGCGUAGAGAUGUGGAGGAACACCAAUGGCGAAGGCAGCCUUCUGGGCCAACACUGACGCUCAUGCACGAAAGCGUGGGGAUCAAACAGG
rnacentral:rRNA from 1 species